UGUGGUUCAGAUUAUGAAACCUUUGAAGACCAUCACUACAAUGUUGAGCACUGAAACAACACCGUCGGUUUCAAUGAUCCUACCCCUCAAAACAAUGAUAAUGAAGUCUAUGGAACGAAAUGACGACGAUGCUCCCAUCGUCAGGGAAAUGAAGCAUGCCAUCAGAGAGAACAUGCAAAACAGAUACAUUGACCCAGAUCUCCAGGAUUUCUUUAAUAAAUGCACUGCAUUGGACCCCAGGUUCAAAUCGCUCCCUCACUUUGAUCCUGUCUAUCACCAUAAGAUUUCUUUGAAGAUCUCAUCACAAAAAUUCUGAGCAGAACAGAGCAGACUGAGACCGCAGAGACAACACAGGACGGGCCAUCAACUUCACAGGCUACUUUCUUACCAGAGAUGCCAGACUCUGACACAUCAUCCUCUCCACCUCCUCCAAAGAAGUCAGCCAUGGAAGAAGUCUUUGGCUCCCUCUUCGCAACUGGUCAGAGGAACCAUCCUGUUUUUUCAACGGCAGGUGACAUAGUCACUGCCACAAGAUCUACCCUCACUGGUGAAAGUGUGGACAAACUUGUGUUUCUGAAAAAAGACUUAAAAAUACAAUGAAGCUA